rnacentral:rRNA from 1 species
GCAGCAGCUGCGGUAAUUCCAGCUCCAAUAGCGUAUAUUUAAGUUGUUGCAGUUAAAAAGCUCGUAGUUGGAUUUCGGGCGGGUCACGGCGGUCCGCCUCUGGUGUGCACUGCCGUUGAUCCGCCUUUCUGUCGGGGACGGGCUCUUGGGCUUCACUGUCCGGGACCCGGGCUCGACGAGGUUACUUUGAGUAAAUUAGAGUGUUCAAAGCAGGUGAUCGCCUUGAAUACAUUAGCAUGGAAUAGCACGAUAGGACUCUGGCCUAUCUUGCUGGUCUGUAGGACCGGAGUAAUGAUUAAGAGGGACAGUCGGGGGCAUUCGUAUUUCAUUGUCAGAGGUGAAAUUCUUGGAUUUAUGAAAGACGAACUUCUGCGAAAGCAUUUGCCCAGGAUGUUUUCCUUGAUCAAGAACGAAAGG